rnacentral:rRNA from 1 species
UGCGGGGGGGGCAAGCGUUGUUCGGAAUUACUGGGCGUAAAGGGCGCGUAGGCGGCCAUCUAAGUCAGAUGUGAAAUCCCCGGGCUCAACCUGGGAACUGCGUUUGUGACUGUAUGACUAGAGUACGGUAGAGAGGGGUGGAAUUCCUGGUGUAGCAGUGAAAUGCGUAGAUAUCAGGAGGAACAUCGAUGGCGAAGGCAGCCCCUUGGACCUGUACUGACGCUCAUGCACGAAAGCGUGGGGAGCAGACAGG